CCCUGACCUUCGUGGAGUGGUGUGGUGUCAGGGAGGAGCAGGCACGCUGGGCCGGCUCUGGGCUGUGCAGUGGCCGCUGCAGGGACUUCGGCCCAGGCAGCGGGGUCCUCGUCUGUGAAACGGGGUAGCACCCGCCUCACAAGGCCAUCGCCAGGAUGAGGUGGCCUGGCUGCGGGGAAGUUCCUGGCAGGUCUGCACUGCUGGCCUUUCACUGUGCCCUGGGUGUCAGGCACUGGUUUCAGGAAGGCUCUGUUGGGAGGGAGUAUCUUCCACGGGAGCGCAGCCAUCCACAGUGUGCACAGUGCACAGCUUAUCACUGUUUAUCAGAUUAGCCCAAGGAGAUGGAGCACAAGACAGGUCAAUUUAAUUAUUAGGUCAGCCAAGGACCCUAGGAGGGAAGAAGGGGACAGUUUUCGAGCCCUACAGCAUCAUAACAGGAAGAUACCCUUUAGGUAGCUUUUUUGACUCAGAAGUGUAAAACAAGACAUAUUCCCAAGUUGAUGAAGUGCAUCGGGGUCAGAGCUGUUACUAGACAAGGAUCUCCAAGACUCCAGGAGUGCUCUCCAUACCAGCCAUCUGCUGAGGAGCACACAUCGCCACUGUAUUAAGAAACACUCAGCAUUGUUCGUUCCAGUUUUUCCCCUUUACUCUUCUCCAUCCAGUCACACAGAAGAAAGCUUGAGCAGG